rnacentral:rRNA from 1 species
UACGUAGGGGGCAAGCGUUGUUCGGAAUUACUGGGCGUAAAGGGCGCGUAGGCGGCACGGCAAGUCGGGAGUGAAAGCCCGGGGCUCAACCCCGGAGGGUCUUCCGAAACUGCCGAGCUAGAGUGCGGAAGAGGCAACCGGAAUUCCCAGUGUAGCGGUGAAAUGCGUAGAGAUGUGGAGGAACACCAGUGGCGAAGGCGACUCUUUGGCCUGUAACUGACGCUGAGGCGCGAAAGCGUGGGGAGCAAACAGG